GGAUUAUGCUUUGGGAAAGUUUCUUUUGGGGGGGAUAACCAUUGGAAAGACUGGUAAUACCGCAUGAGAUCGAGAGAUGAAAGCAGGGGACCGCAAGGCUUGCGCGGAGAGGAGCGGCCGAUGCCGGAUUAGCUAGUUGGUGGGGUAAAAGCCUACCAAGGCGACGAUCCGUAGCUGGUCUGAGAGGACGACCAGCCACACUGGGACUGAGACACGGCCCAGACUCCUACGGGAGGCAGCAGUGGGGAAUUUUGGACAAUGGGGGCAACCCUGAUCCAGCCAUGCCGCGUGUGUGAAGAAGGCCUUCGGGUUGUAAAGCACUUUCGGACGGAACGAAAUCGCGCGAUCUAAUAAGUCGCGUGGAUGACGGUACCGUAAGAAGAAGCACCGGC
rnacentral:rRNA from 1 species